AUUGAACGCUGGCGGCAUGCCUUACACAUGCAAGUCGAACGGCAGCGGGGACUUCGGUCCGCCGGCGAGUGGCGAACGGGUGAGUAAUGUAUCGGAACGUACCAUUGAGUGGGGGAUAACGUAGCGAAAGUUACGCUAAUGCCGCAUAUUCUCUCCGGAGGAAAGCAGGGGACCGCAAGGCCUUGCGCUCUUUGAGCGGCCGAUAUCAGAUUAGCUAGUUGGUGGGGUAAAAGCUCACCAAGGCGACGAGCUGUAGCGGGUCUGAGAGGAUGAUCCGCCACACUGGAACUGAGAAACGGUCCAGACUCCUACGGGAGGCAGAAGUGGGGAAUUUUGGACAAUGGGGGCAACCCUGAUCCAGCCAUGCCGCGUGAGUGAAGAAGGCCUUCGGGUUGUAAAGCUCUUUCGGCCGGGAAAAAAUCGCAUGGGUUAAUACCCUGUGUGGAUGAUGGUACCGGAAUAAGAAGCACCGGCUAACUACGUGCCAGCAGCCGCCGUAA
rnacentral:rRNA from 1 species